CCUACGGGAGGCAGCAGUGGGGAAUAUUGCGCAAUGGGCGAAAGCCUGACGCAGCGACGCAGCGUGAGGGACGAAGGCCUUCGGGUUGUAAACCUCUUUCAGCGGGGACGAAGCGAAAGUGACGGUACCCGCAGAAGAAGCACCGGCUAACUACGUGCCAGCAGCCGCGGUAAUACGUAGGGUGCAAGCAUUGUCCGGAUUUAUUGGGCGUAAAGAGCUCGUAGGCGGCUUGUCACGUCGGAUGUGAAAACUCGGGGCUCAACCCCGAGCCUGCAUUCGAUACGGGCUAGCUAGAGUGUUGCAGGGGAGACUGGAAUUCCUGGUGUAGCGGUGAAAUGCGCAGAUAUCAGGAGGAACACCGGUGGCGAAGGCGGGUCUCUGGGCAACUACUGACGCUGAGGAGCGAAAGCGUGGGGAGCGAACAGGAUUAGAUACCCUGGUAGUCCACGCCGUAAACGGUGGGCGCUAGGUGUGGGGAACCUUCCACGUUCUCUGUGCCGUAGCUAACGCAUUAAGCGCCCCGCCUGGGGAGUACGGCCGCAAGGCUAAAACUUAAAGGAAUUGACGG
rnacentral:rRNA from 1 species